rnacentral:tRNA from 1 species
UAGCUUAGUUGAUGAAGCAUGAGACUCUUAAUCUCAGGGUAGUGGGUUCAAGCCCCAC